GAACCUGUGAGUGUGACUUUAUUUGGAAAAAAGGGUCUUUGUAGAUGUCAUUAAGUUAAAGAUCUCUGGAUGAGAUUGGUCUGGGUUAUCUGGGUGGGCCCUAAAUCCAAUGGCAGGUGUCCUUAUAAGAGACAGAAGAGGAGAAGACAGACACAGAGGAGAAGACCAUGUGAAGAUGGAGGCAGAGAUUGGAGUGAUGUGGCCGCAAGCCAAGGAAUGCCUGAAGCUACCAGAAGCUGGGAGAGAUCAUGCUUUUGUUGUUGAAGCCAAGAACUCAUUGCCUAAUUUAAGGUAGCAAGUCAUCAGGAAUGCUUAGCACGUAUGGACCAUUUCACAGAGAGUGUCUGAAACAAGAUAUUUCUUUCUAGCCUCACCUCUGGAUUGGACCGAGCAUGGAUACACUGGGCCAUUACCAUGAUUUAUCAGGAGCUGAUUACCUAGCCAAUCAUUCCCAUCAUUCCCUUACUGAAAUAAACUGAGAAAAAUCAAACUAACCUUCUAUUCACUGGAAGAUAUUCCAAAUGGUGGUUUGCUUCAUGCUUGCACAGAGACUCUGGCUGGGCAGCCCAGAUGAUCACUUUGUGUGAUGUGAUGCCCACAGCUGCCUAGCUGUCUCCAAGGGCCCAAUCAUUUAUCGCUUCUCUUUGGCUGUGUGUGUGUGCAAGCAGGCAGCUGGGGGUGUGUGUGACCCCAGGGCUUCUACAAUAAAUCAGAAUCCCUAAUGCCAGAU
rnacentral:lncRNA from 1 species